AACGCCAAGGGCCUGAAUAAGAACCUUCUGGAUCACUUCAGAGUGCUGGCCGCCAGCAACGAGGACACGGACCAGGUGGACCUGCCUUUCCUGCAUGGAGUUCUCACUGAUGGAGCUGACCAACACAGCUGACAAAUACGGCCAGACGGUGCUGCAUGAGAUCUCGCGGGCGUGGAACGUGGAUGUGAUGCGCUUCUUUCUGGAGAGGGGGGGGGAUGUGCAGAGGGGUCGACAUGUAAUGGG